rnacentral:tRNA from 1 species
CGCUUUUUAGUACUAAACAAAUACGUCGAUUUUCAAAAUCGAAAAUAAAAUUAUUUUUUAAGAGCGU